UACGGGGGGGGCAAGCGUUGUUCGGAAUUACCGGGCGUAAAGGGCUCGUAGGCGGCCAACUAAGUCAGACGUGAAAUCCCCAGGCUCAACCUGGGAACUGCGUCUGAUACUGGAUGGCUUGAAUCCGGGAGAGGGAUGCAGAAUUCCAGGUGUAGCGGUGAAAUGCGUAGAUAUCUGGAGGAACACCGGUGGCGAAGGCGGCUACCUGGACCGGUUCUGACGCUGAGGCGCGAAAGCGUGGGUAGCAAACAGG
rnacentral:rRNA from 1 species